UUUGACGUUAGCGACAGAAGAAGCACCGGCUAACUCCGUGCCAGCAGCCGCGGUAAUACGGAGGGUGCGAGCGUUAAUCGGAAUUACUGGGCGUAAAGCGCAUGCAGGUGGUUUGUUAAGUCAGAUGUGAAAGCCCGGGGCUCAACCUCGGAAUWGCAUUUGAAACUGGCAGACUAGAGUACUGUAGAGGGGGGUAGAAUUUCAGGUGUAGCGGUGAAAUGCGUAGAGAUCUGAAGGAAUACCGGUGGCGAAGGCGGCCCCCUGGACAGAUACUGACACUCAGAUGCGAAAGCGUGGGGAGCAAACAGGAUUAGAUACCCUGGUAGUCCACGCCGUAAACGAUGUCUACUUGGAGGUUGUGGCCUUGAGCCGUGGCUUUCGGAGCUAACGCGUUAAGUAGACCGCCUGGGGAGUACGGUCGCAAGAUUAAAACUCAAAUGAAUUGACGGGGGCCCGCACAAGCGGUGGAGCAUGUGGUUUAAUUCGAUGCAACGCGAAGAACCUUACCUACUCUUGACAUCCAGAGAACUUUCCAGAGAUGGAUUGGUGCCUUCGGGAACUCUGAGACAGGUGCUGCAUGGCUGUCGUCAGCUCGUGUUGUGAAAUGUUGGGUUAAGUCCCGCAACGAGCGCAACCCUUAUCCUUGUUUGCCAGCGAGUAAUGUCGGGAACUCCAGGGAGACUGCCGGUGAUAAACCGGAGGAAGGUGGGGACGACGUCAAGUCAUCAUGGCCCUUACGAGUAGGGCUACACACGUGCUACAAUGGCGCAUACAGAGGGCGGCCAACUUGCGAAAGUGAGCGAAUCCCAAAAAGUGCGUCGUAGUCCGGAUUGGAGUCUGCAACUCGACUCCAUGAAGUCGGAAUCGCUAGUAAUCGUGGAUCAGAAUGCCACGGUGAAUACGUUCCCGGGCCUUGUACACACCGCCCGUCACACCAUGGGAGUGGGCUGCAAAAGAAGUAGGUAGUUUAACCUU
rnacentral:rRNA from 1 species